ACAGUGGCAGAUGACAGCAGAAUCAUGGUUUCCUCUCAGUUUAGUGCUCACCUUGAUUUUACUGAACUCAAGCCUGCUGAUAUCAGCGAGUGGUGGACAUUAUGGUCACGGACAUGGUUACGGUGGACAUGAUCAUGAUGACGAUCAUGACUAUGACUACUGCAGGAGGUCCUCUAAAACUAUAAAUGCAUGUGAAGGCUCUAUCCUGCGUCUGUCCUGUCCUGGU